rnacentral:rRNA from 1 species
CGAAGCGUGCGAUUGGAUUGCACGUCUAAGCAGUAAGGCUGAGUAUUAGGCAAAUCCGGUACUCGUUAAGGCUGAGCUGUGAUGGGGAGAAGACAUUGUGUCUUCGAGUCGUUGAUUUCACACUGCCGAGAAAAGCCUCUAGAUAGAAAAUAGGUGCCCGUACCGCAAACCGACACAGGUAGUCAAGAUGAGAAUUCUAAGGUGAGCGAGCGAACUCUCGUUAAGGAACUCGGCAAAAUGACCCCGUAACUUCGGGAGAAGGGGUGCUCUUUAGGGUUAACGCCCAGAAGAGCCGCAGUGAAUAGGCCCAAGCGACUGUUUAUCAAAAACACAGGUCUCUGCUAAACCGUAAGGUGAUGUAUAGGGGCUGACGCCUGCCCGGUGCUGGAAGGUUAAGAGGAGUGGUUAGCUUCUGCGAAGCUACGAAUCGAAGCCCCAGUAAACGGCGGCCGUAACUAUAACGGUCCUAAGGUAGCGAAAUUCCUUGUCGGGUAAGUUCCGACCCGCACGAAAGGCGUAACGAUUUGGGCACUGUCUCAACGAGAGACUCGGUGAAAUCAUAGUACCUGUGAAGAUGCAGGUUACCCGCGACAGGACGGAAAGACCCCGUGGAGCUUUACUGUAGCCUGAUAUUGAAAUUCGGCACAGCUUGUACAGGAUAGGUAGGAGCCUUUGAAACGUGAGCGCUAGCUUACGUGGAGGCGCUGGUGGGAUACUACCCUAGCUGUGUUGGCUUUCUAACCCGCACCACUUAUCGUGGUGGGAGACAGUGUCAGGCGGGCAGUUUGACUGGGGCGGUCGCCUCCUAAAAGGUAACGGAGGCGCUCAAAGGUUCCCUCAGAAUGGUUGGAAAUCAUUCAUAGAGUGUAAAGGCAUAAGGGAGCUUGACUGCGAGACCUACAAGUCGAGCAGGGUCGAAAGACGGACUUAGUGAUCCGGUGGUUCCGCAUGGAAGGGCCAUCGCUCAACGGAUAAAAGCUACCCCGGGGAUAACAGGCUUAUCUCCCCCAAGAGUUCACAUCGACGGGGAGGUUUGGCACCUCGAUGUCGGCUCAUCGCAUCCUGGGG